UAACAUACUUGAAAUUUUCUAGUUUCUUCUGAUAGAAAAUGAGAAUAGUUUUUCUGGGAAUUCAGUCAAGGUUCUAAUGGAACAGUUAGAAUAGUUACUCUGACAUUUACCUUAAUGGUGACACGGUUUCUCUUCUCAGAUUUUAACCAUCUGCUUUCAAGGAAGAAGAAGCCCUAGUUGAACUUACAGCUAUGAAUUGCGACAACAUAAGGAACUGGAAGGAUAACAACGAUCUUGAUGACAAUGAUUACAUUCCAUUCUUCAUCCAUCCUCCAGCUCAGUGUGAUGUCUGUCACAGAUUAACUGAUAAUAAA